GUAAGGGCUGAGCCCCACGCAGCCAUGGGAUGAAGCCCCAGGGUCAGCUCCACGCUCAGUGCCGACAGCUGUGGGCACCGCGCGGGCUAAAUAGACGGAGUUUGUGAAACUCGCGUCGGAGGAGAAACGCUUUCAGUUCUUCACUGACUUCGCGUUGCCUUUUUCCCCCCGCUGCUCGCAGCGAUAUAAUUACUUGGGGCAAACGGGCGGCCGGUUCCCAUAGAAAUGCUUUAAUGGAAGCGGGCAAAAGUUCUUGCGGGAAAACCUGCAGCCCCGGCGCCGCAGUAACGAAACUGGGCACUUUGAUGGAAAUUAACGGGAGUUUUGUAAGGAGCGCGUUGGGGGAUGGCAGGCAGCCCUUAUCUGCGGUUCCAGUCAACUAGCAAUCCUGAAAGAGUUUGCAUCAUCAUCAGAGCAGCCCGUUUGAUAGGAUUCUGUGCUGCGCCUAAUCAAUCUAUGGGAUACCGGGCUGUGCGGUGUAACAAAGCUAAAAUAGAUUUACAAAUGGGGUUUUAGAGGAUAAGCUCCUCCACAGGAUUACAUAUUGAUUUUAAAUAUAAAAAGCUUAUCAUAUAAACCAUAACUACAAAAAUAGUGAACCUAUGCAUAAAUCCUUUUAGAAGAGCACCCACUUCAAACUGGAAGCCAGGAAUAAAUCAAGAUGUACAAAACCCUAAAGAAGAUCCAUUUCUUGGGCAGAAAACGAACACCUCCCUCCCAAGGUGUGCAAAAACGAACGUAUCUCUCCUAAGGAGGCAUUAAAUCUCGAAUUAAAAAAGGAAAAGAAAGAAGGGAAAGGGGGUGGAGGCGGCGCUGGGGCCGUGCAGUGCAGGAUGGCCCCACGUCCCCGGCCCCGCGUGGGCAGCAGCGUGUUGCCGAGCUGCCCGACAGCAGCGGGCUGCUCUCUGCUCCCCUUCCCAUCUCUGCAGCUCAAGGAGGUGGAUAAAAAGUCCGGCUUUUGUUUGGCGCUCUCGUGUUUCGUAGCACAGAAUGGAGAAAACGGGGCACGGCGCGGAGCCACCCGCCCGCUUCUGAAAUGUAAUCUGAUUCUACCGUAGGGCCUUUGGAAAUGUACCUACGCCUCGUGUUUCAUAUUUUUUCACAGCUCUGGUUAAUCUCGUGUCAUUGCACGCUCUGCAUUGUCAGGUCUGAAAUAUGAGGAAAACAAGUUCCCCGAUGUGCUGCGCGGCUCACCCGCGUUCCUCGUUCUUGAGGAAACAUAUUAAAAUCUGAUG
rnacentral:lncRNA from 7 species